rnacentral:rRNA from 1 species
GGCCUACAAUAUGAGGCGGGCUGGACCUCUCGGGGUUACAGCCUUGCUGAAUUAUUCACCCUUGUCUUUUGCGUACUUCUUGUUUCCUUGGUGGGUUCGCCCACCACUAGGACAAACAUAAACCUUUUGUAAUUGCAAUCAGCGUCAGUAACAAAUUAAUAAUUACAACUUUCAACAACGGAUCUCUUGGUUCUGGCAUCGAUGAAGAACGCAGCGAAAUGCGAUAAGUAGUGUGAAUUGCAGAAUUCAGUGAAUCAUCGAAUCUUUGAACGCACAUUGCGCCCUUUGGUAUUCCAAAGGGCAUGCCUGUUCGAGCGUCAUUUGUACCCUCAAGCUUUGCUUGGUGUUGGGCGUCUUGUCUCUAGCUUUGCUGGAGACUCGCCUUAAAGUAAUUGGCAGCCGGCCUACUGGUUUCGGAGCGCAGCACAAGUCGCACUCUCUAUCAGCAAAGGUCUAGCAUCCAUUAAGCCUUUUUUUCAACUUUUGACCUCGGAUCAGGUAGGGAUACCCGCUGAACUUAAGCAUAUCAAAGCCGGGGAGGAAA